rnacentral:rRNA from 1 species
CCUACGGUGGGCAGCAGUGAGGAAUAUUGGUCAAUGGCCGGAAGGCUGAACCAGCCAUGCCGCGUGAAGGUCAGUGCCCUAUGGCCUUUAAACUCCUUUUGUGCGGGAGCAAGAAUGGUCACUCGUAGCGUUAUCGAGAGUACCUGCAGAGAAACCAUCGGCGAACUCCGUGCCAGCAGGCGCGGUAAUUCAGGGGAUGCUAGCUGUAUCCGGAUUUCUGAGGUUUAAAGGGUGCUUAGGCGGAAUGCCAAGGCAGCGGGAAAAUCGCGGGGCUCAACCUGGCUCCGCCGUUGAAACUGGCGGUCUGGAGUGGGAGAGAAGUAUGCGGAAUGCGUGGUGUAGCGGUGAAAUGCAUAGAUAUCACGAAGAACUCCGACUGCGAAGGCAGCAUACCGGCGCCCAACUGACGCUGAAGCACGAAAGCGUGGGUAUCGAACAGGAUUAGAUACCCGUGUAGUC